rnacentral:rRNA from 1 species
CCUACGGGGUGCUGCAGUGAGGAAUAUUGGUCAAUGGACGAGAGUCUGAACCAGCCAAGUAGCGUGCAGGAUGAAGGAUCUAUGGUUUGUAAACUUCUUUUAUAUGGGAAUCACGUGAGGAACGUGUUCCUUUUUGUAUGUACCAUAUGAAUAAGCAUCGGCUAACUCCGUGCCAGCAGCCGCGGUAAUACGGAGGAUGCGAGCGUUAUCCGGAUUUAUUGGGGUUAAAGGGUGCGUAGGUGGUUAAUUAAGUCAGCGGUGAAAGUUUGUGGCUCAACCAUAAAAUUGCCGUUGAAACUGGUUGACUUGAGGAUAUUUGAGGUAGGCGGAAUGCGUGGUGUAGCGGUGAAAUGCAUAGAUAUCACGCAGAACUCCGAUUGCGAAGGCAGCUUACUAAACUAUAACUGACACUGAAGCACGAAAGCGUGGGGAUCAAACAGGAUUAGAUACCCGAGUAGUC